CAAUAGCGUAUAUUAAAGUUGUUGCAGUUAAAAAGCUCGUAGUUGGAUUUCUGGUAGGAUGACUGUGCCCUCAGUAGAGUGUGCGCUGGCGUCUUGCCAUCCUUCUGUUAACUUUUGGGAGCUUCACCGCUCCCUUUGGGGCUCAGAUAUUUUACCUUGAGAAAAUUAGAGUGUUUCAGGCAGGCUAGCGCCGGAAUACAUUAGCAUGGAAUAAUGGAAUAGGACUUUUGCCUCUUCUGUUGGUCAUGGGGUUCGAGUAAUGAUUAAUAGGGAUAGUUGGGGGCAUUAGUACUUCACUGUCAGAGGUGAAAUUCUCGGAUUUGUUAAAGACGGACUACUGCGAAAGCAUUUGCCAAGGAUGUUUUCAUUGA
rnacentral:rRNA from 1 species